UCCCAGCCGCAGUAGGGGUCACUGGCCAACACGCAGUCCUCACAGCGCGGCCCGUACCGGUCACACUGCUGCAUCUCCACCUGCACCACCUCCCUCGACGAGCUCACAUACAGCUUCAUCUGAGGCGGAGCAAACAUAGAGCAUCGUCACACCUCCUCAAAGUGAUGAGCGGCCAAGAUGGCGACCCUACGACCCCCCAGACAUCUGAGAGCCUAAACAAAGCUCCUGAAGGGAAUCAGGAGACACACAUCAGCCAGGUCCAUUCAAAGACAAAUUACAUAACAGCACACAGACAGACCGCAGCAUUGAAGGGCCUUCCUUUAUUUCUCCGUGAGAGUCACGAGAAGCUGUUCAGGAAUUGUCUGGAUACUGACCCAGAAGAGGAGAAGACAAGGGGUCUCAUAGUGGGGAUACUUUCUGUGAUGGAGGAUCACAGUUCCGCUCCUGCAAGACUUCAAAAUGUAGCUGUGGUUUUAGAAGAACAUAUCGUCUUACAAGACCUCCCUGACCUGCUAACGGCCCUUGCGUUGCUCUUUGGGCUGAUAUACGCUCUGAACAUCCAGUUUCCCAAGGAACUGCGAUACACCUUUGAAAUGUUUCAAAAGAUCUUUUUGGAGCUGCGGACAGAUCUCUCUGCAAGAGUCAGAUCCCUCAAAAACAAACUUCUUCUGUAACCCUGUGUCAGAACCUAAUGUUGAGCUGCAAGUUCUGUUGAAAACAAACUUGUUGGGCCUGUUUUAAAUUGUUAAUGUUCAUGCUGCAGCUUCCCUUUUGUAUAUUUACUUAUUUUACUCAGUCCCCCAAAUAUCUCUUCUCUUCCUGUCUAUAGGAAUAAUGCUGUAUUAUGCAUUUUAAUACAGCACGUGCUGUUAUUUCAAUGUUUUAAGAAAGCAACUGUUUCACCUGAUCGGGUGAGCUAUUGGUCUUCUGUGCUUUUGCACAGCACUUGAGACAUGCAAGACAUGUUCAAUAAAAAAAGAUUUGAAUUGA